ACCUUUUGGAGGGAAGAAAGGAGAUGUAGGGCAACCGAUCCCGUGUGGCGCUGGUAAUCCGAACCCACGCACCCAUGGCAGCGUUAGAUGCCAGAGCAGCUUUGCAUGCGGGAGACAUUUAGCAUUUGGAGCUGCAAUGCCCAGCACUCGGUUAUGUACCACCUCUGACAUCCUUCUGGCACCCAGCGCCUCCUGGCUGGAGCUGGCACACGGGUUCCAGCCUGGCCUCGUGCCCUGUCCUACUUGGGGACAGGCUGGGGACACGGAGGAGGGCUGCAAGCCUUCGUUUCUUUGCUGGGCACGAGGCUCUGUGCUGACCCACACACAGCUCAGGAACACGCAGCUGCUGUGAGUAUCCUAAUUCUCCUUCCCUUGCUGCACCAUGGGAGGGAGACACCACCCCAGAAAAUGGGGCUCUGUCUCGUUCCCUGGCUUGCCCAGUUCUGUCUGCACCAAAUAACCCCCAAGAGCUUGCCCCAGCCAGACACUGUCCAAGGGGAAGGCAGCUUCAGAGAGCACAGAUCUCUUCAUGAGGACAUGUGCCCUGGGGAGGCUGCUUACCCUCGGGGCUCCCUACAGCCAAAUAAGACUGUAAGUGCCUGCUGUGCUGUUUUAUGGGGUGCGAGCACUAGCCAAGUCUCUCCUUCCUACACCGUGAUGUGAAACUCAUGAACCUUGAUGCCUCUGAGACCUCUCUCUUUCUUUCCAGAUGGCUGAAAUUAAACGGGGUUAAAAGAUAUAGGAAAGGAGACUGAGAAGUCCAUAUAACAGAAGCAGACUAAUUGCAUCAUGCUUAUUCUGCAGGACAGCAGGCUAAAAACCCUUGUGUGAGCUGUCACUCCUGCCUCAGAGGCAGUGAGAGAGGACUUGAGCCCUGCUGGAAAACCUGGCACGCUGGUGACCGAUACACCCAGCUGCCUGCAGCCCCUGCUCUUCUGCCUCCAGCUGCGCUUUGGGAUCGUCCCCGGGGGAAGCAGAAAGUGAAAUCCCUGGGGGCAGUGCCUGGCCCAGCUCCAGCUCAGCCGGCAGGACACACACCUGUCCCUCCCCGUCUGCUCUUGCUCUCCACUGAGCCUCUUCUGAAGCCCCCACUGAUGCUGCCCCUCAACCUCACCUCAUGGCCCGGAAAAACCUGGUGGAAAGGGGAAACUCACAGAGCUCACACUUGAGCCCAUAGGACUUCCCGAUCUUGUUGACUCGGACCAUUGGGGUACAGCCAAUUUUCUUCAGGAUGUUGGGCAAGAUCUUUGUUUCUUCUGGUCUGUAUGAAAGGAUAAAAAAAAAAAAAAAAAAAGCCAAAUCAGGGCAACUUUUUAUGCAACAUGAACCAAGAUAAAACCUGAGUAAGGUUACAGCAAGACCACCAAGAGACUCCUUUUUUCAAGAGAAGAGAUUUCCUUUGACAGGUAAUGUCAAAAGGAGCUGGUUGUGGUCUUCCAUCACUUACCAUCAGUUAUUUAUUCCUUUAUGUAAAAAAUAAUGUAGUUAUUUUUCAGGGCUGUUCUGAAAUGCCUUGCUCUACAAGACCUGAGGGCAGA